rnacentral:rRNA from 1 species
GACGAACGCUGGCGGCGUGCCUAACACAUGCAAGUCGAGCGAUCAGGCCCUUCGGGUCCUGGUAGCGGCGAACGGGUGAGUAACACGUGGGUAACCUGCCCUAAGGACUGGGAUAACUCCCGGAAACGGGUGCUAAUACCGAACGUGCUUGGUCUACACAAGUGGAUCAAGCAAAGGUAGCUUCGGCUUCUGCCUUAGGGUGGGCCCGCGGCCUAUCAGCUGGUUGGUGAGGUAACGGCUCACCAAGGCUACGAGGGGUAGCGGGUCUGAGAGGAAGAUCCGCAACCCGGGGACUGGGAAGCGGCCAAGACUCCUACGGGAGGCAGCAGUGGGGAAUCUUGCGCAAUGGGCGAAAGCGUGACGCAGCACCGCCGCGGGGAGGAAGAAGGCCUUCGGGUUGUAACCUCCUGUCAGGGGGAAAGAAGGCACCUGGGUUAAUAGCCAAAGGGCUGACGGUACCCCCAAAGGAAGCAACGGCUAACUAC